ensembl:lncRNA
CGUGCACCGCGCGGCUGCCGCGGGCGGGGGCGGAGAGGGGGCUUCGCAGCCGGAGGUCGUCCCUCUCCCUGCGAGGGCCGCGAGCGCCCAGCCCUGCUCCCGAGGGACUCCACGGGAAGCCGUCUAGAAUGGUCGGGGCGACUCACCGUCGCCGCGGCACCGGCGGCGGCCGCAAUAUCAAGAACGACCACCUCCGAAGCUCGUAGUCGGGCGUCUGUCAGAAGGAGGCGGGUUGGAGGCAACUGGAGUGAAUUGAGUACAGCUGUGUAAUCUAACACUCCAGGUUCCCAGCCCUUUGACACCGAUAAGAACAGGUGCAGCAUGAUGUGCUUCCACAAACCAAGCAUGCCAGUGGGCCCACCUCCCAGCGACCUGACUUGCACUGCCUUCCAAGCACGAGGUCACCCUGGGGUCACCAUGCUCCUGAUUUGUAGCAGCGAAGAUUAGCUUUCUUCCUUUCUGUAAUUUUUAUAGAAAUGGAUUCUCGUGGCAUGAGCUCUUGACUCUGGCUUCUUUGGCUCAGUCUUGCGCCUAUGAGUCAUCCAUAGUGCUCUACACAGUUGUCAGCGUUCAUUCUCACAGUCGUGUGAUAGUCCAUCGUGUGAACAGACCGAAGUUUGUCUGUUUUGCUGCUCAUGGGCAUCCAGGUUAUUCCCAGGUGGGAAUUUUUGGCUAUUCUCAUUGUGCUGUCACAAGCUUUCCAGUGCAUGGCGUGAGCAUAAUUCUGUCAGGUGCCCGGUG